AAUGUUUAUAUUGAAUUACUGCAAAUAAUUUGCCAUUGUUGCACAUCUGUGCCUGAACUGUGAUGACUAGCAGAGAAAUCAAAUAUUAUUCAAUGUCAGUAGGUGGCAAUAUAGUGCAAUAAUGACCUUGUUGAUUAAAGAAAAUAGAAUUACUGCCACCUUG